UUGGAGUGUCUUGCAAUGGAUGCUUGUUAUGUAAUUUCAUAGUUUAAUCAAAAAACUAUUACUUAAACACAUACCUGUGAUACAUCAUAUUGGGAAGGUAAUACUACCUCUCUGCAGGUACAAGAGCUAGCAUUGGAUGCAUAUGCUAUACAACUCUACUUCUACUCUUUACCUGAUUCACCCUACAUAAUGAACAGUACUCACACCAUGUGCUGAACUGCAUUAAAUUCCCUGCUGGUUAUGGUUUUAUGGGGUUUACUCAGCAACCAAUUAACAUAUCAGGAAUACCAGGAUUGCCAGAGCCACAUGUUGGUCUUGGCAAAGUUCAAUGUAGAAUUUUCUUCACAGUUUGCAGAGAGUAUAGGCUAUUUGAAGAUUACUUUCUUUUCAUUAUACAUUUUCAUAAUAUUUAUUUUUGCAUUAUCGGUAAGGCUCAGUUCAACCUGUAGUAUCUCUUCUAACAUGAGGAGGUUAAAUGUACAUGAGGAAGCAACUCCUCACAACUUUACCUACUUUAUUCCUUACCUUGUGGUAGGUAAUGUGGUCCCUGGAGGUCCAGUGAUGGAGCAUUGUGGUCUAUUAGGAGCAGAUCAAUUUAAGGUCUCCCUUGCAGUUCCAGUUGCCUGCGGCCUGGGCCAGCCUUGGAACUAGCAGUAGUCCUGGAAAAAAUGGAGAUCCUGUACUACAGUCCGCUCGGGCAUGCUACAUGUAGUGACAGGCAGUGCUAAGCAAUUGCGCCCAAGGGCCAGUGCACCCUAGGCGGCUGUGCACAGGCCCUGAAGGUAUGGGGGCCAACUGGAAAAGAUGGGCUAGUCUGACCCUGUCUGUGGCACUCAGAGACAUUAAUAAGUUCAGUAGCUUACGAAUAAAAUAAUAGAAGCAUCAGUAUUGGCAGAGCCACUUCCUGGUCUUUUAAAAGUUCACAGUAGAAGUUGAAACACGUAGAAGGAUUGUAGAACAUGCAAAGAAAAGUGCACUUAAAGACCAUCAUGCAAAACCAAGAAAUCAUCCUGAUAAAAAUGGGAAAAUCAGGAUUUAUUAAGAAAGCACAGCAAUAUCAUAUAUCCAUUUGUUGUUCGUUGCAAAUCUCACAGAUUCUGGGGAUAGGGUACAUUGACAGGUAAGUAUUUUUAUAUUUUUUUUUUAAGCAUUAUCGCUAUUAUACAUUGUUCAUUUUACAAAGGUAGUCUACUAUCGACCGUUUGUUCAAAUGUGUGUUAAAUAAAAAUAGCUAAAUUACAGUGAGAAAGUUAGAAGAGAGGGAAGUACAUUCUUAUUUAAUUAUCACCACUUGCUCCACCUAUUUUCUGUGUGUUAUAAAUUAGGUAAGAGUAAUAUGCAAAACUCACCAAAAUGGUUGUGUACCCGAGGCACUGAAAUUGGACAGCUCUGACUGUAAUUACUUUUAAUUAUUCCUAUGUAUAGGAAAUCCUAUAAUCUCUCUUAAUACUAAUUUGUCUUUUUUCCCUCUAGCUACAAAAACCUAGGCGUGGAUGCAGCUCACACUGAUUACCAAAAGAAAGAAAAUGUGAUAAUGCCUGAUUACUUCUCCAACUUUUACUACACAAAUAUGUUUCCCUUCAUCACUUAAUCCCUUUUCAUUAAUACUCUGUAUAACAAAGAAAGAAGUCACAUAACAAUAAAGACAAAAUGGCUAUAUUUGUUUAUGAGCUUUAUUGUAUACACAUGUAUACCUGUAUAAUUCACAAAAGGUACAAAGAAAUAUAAAUAAAUAAAUAAUAA
rnacentral:lncRNA from 1 species